CCUACGUGAGGCAGCAGUGGGGAAUAUUGCACAAUGGGGGAAACCCUGAUGCAGCGACGCCGCGUGAGUGAAGAAGUAAUUCGUUAUGUAAAGCUCUAUCAGCAGGGAAGAAAAUGACGGUACCUGAGUAAGAAGCCCCGUCUAACUACGUGCCAGCAGCCGCGGUAAUACGUAGGGGGCAAGCGUUAUCCGGAUUUACUGGGUGUAAAGGGAGCGUAGACGGCAGUGCAAGUCUGGAGUGAAAGGCGGGGGCUCAACCCCCGGACUGCUCUGGAAACUGUACGGCUGGAGUGCAGGAGAGGUAAGUGGAAUUCCUAGUGUAGCGGUGAAAUGCGUAGAUAUUAGGAGGAACACCAGUGGCGAAGGCGGCUUACUGGACUGUAACUGACGUUGAGGCUCGAGAGCGUGGGGAGCAAACAGGAUUAGAUACCCCGGUAGUC
rnacentral:rRNA from 1 species